rnacentral:rRNA from 1 species
GAUGAACGCUAGCUACAGGCUUAACACAUGCAAGUCGAGGGGCAGCAUGGUCUUAGCUUGCUAAGGCCGAUGGCGACCGGCGCACGGGUGAGUAACACGUAUCCAACCUGCCGUCUACUCUUGGACAGCCUUCUGAAAGGAAGAUUAAUACAAGAUGGCAUCAUGAGUCCACAUGUUCACAUGAUUAAAGGUAUUCCGGUAAUAGAUGGCCUUGCGUCUGAUUAGAUAGUUGGUGGGGUAACGGCCUACCAAGUCGACGAUCAGUAGCCGGACUGAGAGGUUGAACGGCCACAUUGGGACUGAGAUACGGCCCAG